rnacentral:rRNA from 1 species
UACGUAGGGGGCAAGCGUUGUCCGGAUUUAUUGGGCGUAAAGAGCGUGUAGGCGGCUUGGUAGGUCUCGCGUCAAAACCUGAGGCUCAACCUCAGUUCGCGUGGGAAACCACCUAGCUAGAGUCCGGAAGAGGAGAACGGAAUUCCCAGUGUAGCGGUGAAAUGCGCAGAUAUUGGGGAGAACACCAGUGGCGAAGGCGGUUCUCUGGGACGGUACUGACGCUGAGACGCGAAAGCGUGGGAGCGAACAGG